rfam:Manacus vitellinus contig13993, whole genome shotgun sequence.
CCAAAGGCUCUUUUAAGAGCCACUACACAGGUCAAUAAAAAGAGCU